rnacentral:misc_RNA from 1 species
ACGUAUCUCUGACGUGGCGGGUCGACCCUGCUCGGGUUCCGAAAGGGCCUUUGCAGCGGGUCGCCCGUCGCGCUCAACCUUCACAAACCCCUGUGCACCUUUACGGCCGGAGGGUGGUGGCGAGAGCCCCGCCCGAUGCCGCAUUCAACAAACACUUGUAUAAAAAGAAUGACCAGUGGCCCAUGUGCCGCCUAAAAACAUAA